GGACUACUGGGGUAUCUAAUCCUGUUUGCUCCCCACGCUUUCGCGCCUCAGCGUCAGAACCGGGCCAGUGAGCCGCCUUCGCCACCGGUGUUCUUCCCAAUAUCUACGAAUUUCACCUCUACACUGGGAAUUCCACUCACCUCUCCCGCUCUCUAGCCACGCAGUCUCAAGGGCCAUUCCAGAGUUAAGCUCUGGGAUUUCACCCCUGACUUACAUGACCGCCUACGCGCGCUUUACGCCCAGUAAUUCCGAACAACGCUAGCCCCCUUCGUAUUACCGCGGCUGCUGGCAC
rnacentral:rRNA from 1 species